CUGUGGUUUGCGACCAGGGAAUCACGGAUUUCAGUGAAAGGGUCUGAGACCACAGCCAUAAGCUGUGAAAGCCAAGAGGACAGCUAAGGACUAAGGAAUUGACACUAAGCCCGAAUCUGGCAGAAGAGUCAAGCCCCAAAUCGUGACAUGCACACAGAAAAAAUAUGUGGGCCACUGGCUUAGGAAGACUGCGUUUUCAGGGGAAAUGACCCAUGGGUGAGCGCUGUGGCACAGACUUAAAAGACUAUGACACUUUCUUUUGGCCUCCAUCAUUUCUGAUAAGAAAUUCACUGUCUUUCAAAUUAUUUGCUCUCACAGAACAAGAACUCGGACCUGGCUGAGCUAGAGACUAAGCAGACUGCAAUAUUUGGGACCUCAUCUGGGAUUGUCAGAAGGUCUCCAGCCGCCAUGAGAAGACAUGCCUUGCUUCCCCUUCACCUUCUGCCAUGAUUGUAAGUUUUCUGAAACGCUCAAACCAUGCUUCCUUUUAAGCCUGCAGAACUACUGCUUUGCUUCAGGGAAAAUUUGUUUGGAAAGUUGCAUGUGGUACAUGUGUUUGGAAUCAUUAAUUUGUGGCUCAAGAUACAUUCUGCAUACUUCUCCACCUUGCCUUCUGACUAAGAAGCUGAGCUGUAUGAACUAUAUCAACAAGGUUCCCAUGGCCUUUGUCUUCUGUCUAGGUUAAAAUAAUGUUGAUCCCCAUCAGAAACUGAAAGUAGAGAUACCAGAUUGUGGUCAGAGCGCUGAUUACCUCUACUCUCUCCCAAUGUGUUUGUCGUGGGUUGGCUGUUAUCUUCCAUUCAAUAUGGAUGACCCUAUGUAAUCUUCUUUUUCUCUAGUUCUAAAAACAACCCCUCUCCUUUCCUUUGGUCUCCAUUAGUUGCAUGUUGAAUUACCUCAACACUUACUAAUGUAAAAUAACCAUUUACUAGGUUCACAGAUCCUGUGAGCCAUUGAUCCAGACAUGGCAGAGUAGGUUUAGGUUGUCUCUGGUUCAUGAUGUCUAAGGCCUCUGAUGAAAUAUUUUAAAACUCAGGAAUAGUAGAUCACCAGGGUCUGGAAUUAUCUGAAAGCUUUUUUACUCUGAUGUUUGAUGCUGGCUCCCAGCUGGAACUUUAACUUUACACAAGAACACCUUCAUUAAGCCCUCCAAAUAGCCUGAGCUUUCUCACACCAUGGUUCUUGGAUUCAAAUGUGAGUGCCCUGACUGAAAGACAGAGAGAGAGAGACAGAUAGACAGACAGACACACACAGAGAGCGACAGAGAAAAAUAGAGAUAGAGAUUAGACAGAAGCCCCAGUGCCUUUUAUAAUCUAGCCUCAGAAAUCCUGAAGCAUCACCUACUCCAUUUUAUUUUUUGAAGCCAAGUCCUGGCCAGUUUUAAGAGAGAAAAUGGAUUCUUUUAACUGGGGAGUGAAGAGAUAUUAGAAGUGUGUAUUAGCCUCUUCUCACAGUGUUACAAAGAACUACCUGAGACUGGGUAAUUUAUGAAGAAAUGAGGUUUAAUUGACUCACAGUUCCAGUUCUGCAGGCUGUAGAGGAAGCAUGGCUGAGAGGCCUCAGAAGACUUGCAAUCAUGGCAGAAGGUGGAAAAGGAAGCAAGCACAUCUUCGUAUGGUAGCAGGAGAGACAGAGUGAAGGAGGAGGUGUUAUAUACUUUCUUCUUAACAAGCAGAUCUUAUGAGAAUUCCAUCACAAGACAGCACUAGGAGGAUGGUGUUAAACCAAUGGAAAUCGCCCCCAUGAUCCAACACCCCCAACCAGGCCCCUCCUCCAACACAUGGGGAUUGUAAUUCGAGGUGCGAUUUGGGUGGGAACACAGAGCCAAACCAUAUGAAAGUAUUUCAGGACCCCCAGAUAUUGCUAUGGAUUUUUUGGGAAAAAUCCUUUUCACCACAGGCUUAAGAGUAGUGAGUGUUUGCCUGCUACUAGUCCGAGGUUUCUAUAGUACCCUUUGUGAUUUAUUUUUGUAAUACUCUUUGAAUUAUGCUGAUUCAGAGUGUAUUUUGUCUCGCAUUGGAACCCUGUAUAAUAAAGUACACUACUCAAAUGCUAUUUGAAAGAAAAAAAGAACUAUUUUCAGCAUAUUGAAAUAAUCAUAUUCAUAAUGUACAUGUAAUCAUCUUUGUUAUUAAUUUGAGUUGAUUUUUGUUACUCGGAAAUUAUAUAGAAAGCAAAUACAAUCCAAAUAACACAUAUUUGCCAUUUAAUCCAUGAAAUUCCUAAGGAAAACUUUGAGGAGACCUGCUGCAACCAGUGUUUUUCAAUAUUGUUUUGAAACUUCUGGCUUUUGCAAUAGAAAAAGAAAAAACAUUAGAAGUAAAACUAUUACAAAAUACUAGAAAAAGUUAUGUGCAUUUUUAGAUGAUAUAUUCAAACAUAUCUAAAGCAUAAUAAAAAAUCUAAAAUCUCUGCAAAAAUUAAAUAUAGAAUAUAGUAAGAUCCAGCAAUCCCACUACUGGGUGUAUAUCUAAAGGACAUGAUUAAUAUGUAGAUGAAAUAUUAGCACUCCUAUGUUUAUUGCAGCAUUACUCACAAUAGCCAAGAUAUGGUAUCACACUAAGUGUCCAUCAAUGAAUGAUUAGAUUGAUAAAAUGAAAAUAAAAAAUUAACAUAUACGCAAUGGAAUGUCAUUCUGCCUUUAAAAAGAGGGAAAAUUUGUCAUGUGCAACGACAUAAAUGAACCUGGAGGACAUUAUGUUAAGUGAAAUAAGCCAAGCACAGAAAGCCAAAGACCCUGUGAUCUCACUUAUAUAUGUGCAACUUAAAAAAGUGAAACUCAUAGAAACAGUAAAUUGGUGGUUAGCAGGGGCUGGGGUCAGGUUGAUGAGGGAAGGUAAUAUGGGAAAUGUUGGUCAAAGGGCAUACAAUUUCAGUUAGACAGAAGAAAUAAGUUCAAGAGAUCUCUUGUACAUGACGGUGACUAAAGUUAAGUGUUCACCACAAAAAACAUGGUUAAGUAUGUGAGGUAAUGCAUAUAUUAAAUAGUUUGAUUCAGCCAUUCACAAUGUGUAUAUGUAUUUCAAAACAUCCUGUUAUGAAUCAAUAUUUAUAAUUUGUAUUUGUCAGUUAAUACAACUUUAACAAAUAAAAAUUAAAGAAAAUACUGUUGUAAGGUGUCUAUUUUUACAACAACCAUUUGUAAUUACAUUUUAGUAAUUACUAAGUACCACUUUUGUGGUAGUUUGAUAGCAGCAUUUAUCAGGAUCAAUGGUUUUCUCAUUUGUACAUCAUUUACAAUUUGCCUUUGUAGGUUCUCCCAACAAGAGGACCUGCAAUAGUCUGCACUAUUUUCUCACUUCUUAAAUCUGUUCUGGCUGUGUGACUUACUUUCACCAAAUGAGCACGG
rnacentral:lncRNA from 10 species